AAUGAACGCUGGCGGAGUGCUUAAGACAUGCAAGUCGUACGAGAAAGUCCCGCAAGGGAUAAGUAAAGUGGCGGACGGGUGAGUAAUAUUUAGGUAAUGUACCCUGUCGCUGGGAAUAACUAGGCGAAAGCUUAGCUAAUACCGAAUGAUCCGGGAAGGACUAUGGUCUCUUCUGGUAAAGCCGUAAGGCGCGAUUGGAGCAGCCUAAAUCUCAUUAACUAGUUGGUAGGGUAAUGGCCUACCAAGGUUUCGAUGAGUAGCUGGUCUGAGAGGACGAUCAGCCACACUAGUACUGAAACACGGACCAGACUCCUACGGGAGGCAGCAGUGGGGAAUAUUGCACAAUGGGCGAAAGCCUGAUGCAGCAAUGCCGCGUGUGUGAAGAAGGCCUGCGGGUUGUAAAGCACUUUCGGUAGGGAAGGAUUAUGACGGUACCGUACAGAAGAAGCACCGGCUAACUACCGUGCCAGCAGCCGCGGU
rnacentral:rRNA from 1 species